ACGGAAGGCAGCAGUAGGGAAUCUUCCACAAUGGGCGAAAGCCUGAGGGAGCAACGCCGCGUGUGUGAUGGAGGGUUUCGGCUCGUAAAACACUGUUGUAAGAGAAGAAUGACAUUGAGAGUAACUGUUCAAUGUGUGACGGUAUCUUACCAGAAAGGAACGGCUAAAUACGUGCCAGAAGCCGCGGUAAAACGUAUGUUCCAAGCGUUAUCCGGAUUUAUUGGGCGUAAAGCGAGCGCAGACGGUUAUUUAAGUCUGAAGUGAAAGCCCUCAGCUCAACUGAGGAAUUGCUUUGGAAACUGGAUGACUUGAGUGCAGUAGAGGAAAGUGGAACUCCAUGUGUAGCGGUGAAAUGCGUAGAUAUAUGGAAGAACACCAGUGGCGAAGGCGGCUUUCUGGACUGUAACUGACGUUGAGGCUCGAAAGUGUGGGUAGCAAACAGGAUUAGAUACCCUGGUA
rnacentral:rRNA from 1 species